rnacentral:lncRNA from 1 species
AAAAAAUAUCCCAAAGUCUCAAUGGCUCAAACAGUAAAGAUUUAUUUCUUGUUCACAUUAUACAUCACGGUGUCAUUGUCCUCCCUCUGGAUCCAGGCCACGGAGCUGCUGUUCAUAGUCAUCAUGGCAUCAGGAAGAGAGAGCUUGGCAAAGCCUUCGUGUGCACUUAAAACUUUCAUCCCAGAGAGGCCCAAGCGCCGAGAGACACACCUCCUGUGUGGAAGGAUUCCAGAUGACAGAUACAAAGGCAGCAUGGGUUAACUGUCCAGCCCUCAGAAUGCGCUGUGCCCUACUGUACUCCCCUCAUAAAGCGGGGGGCCUUCGCAAUGGGGAAGCCAGGCAAACACCACGUCGGCCCAGUGACCAAGGUCUACACGCAUCUGUGAUGAGACAUAUUGGUAGCAGGAUCUUAAUGGGAUGUGAUGAGAAGGGCGUCUCUCCUCUGUGGUCUUCCCACCCCAACCCCAUACCCUCAGUCUGAUAAUCAUGGUGAAAACAUCAGACAAACGCAAAUUGAAGUAUAUUCUACAAAAUACCUGCCCUGGAUUCCUCAAAACUGUCAAAGUCAUCGAAAAUGAGGAAAGUCUGAGAAACUGCCACAGCCCAGAGGAGGCUAAAAAAAAAGAUGACAAACAAAUGCAAUGUGAUGUCCUGGAUGGGACCCCGGACAGAAAACGGACCUUAGGGGAAACCUAGUGAAAUCUGAGUAACAUGUGCACUUUAGUUAAUGCACCAAAGUUGGUUCCUUAACUAUGACAAAGGUAGCCAGAAAAUGUAAGGUGUUACUAGUAGGAGAAACUGGGGGAGGGGCAUGUGGAAACUCCAUAUGCUAUCCUCGCAACUUUUCUUCAAAUCAAAGUAUUCUUAAGAAAAGUGUUUAUAUAAAUUAAACAAAAAAGAGGUGCAUGCCAUUUCCACUCACAGAAUUAACCCAAGAACUCGGAGCUCCUUGCUCACACCAGAUUCUUCCUCUCAAAUACUGUCACUCAAUAUCAUGAGAUUAUGAAAAUAAAGGAAGUCUAUACCUUGUGGCCAGGAGUGACCAAAUACUAAAUAAAUUUUUCAACUGUAGUUAGACGGAGAAAGGAAAUCAAGUGAAAUGGUAUGCACCAAUAUUCUGUAAAACAAAGCAAAACAGCAAAGAGAAAUAAUAUUUAUUCAGGAUUACCACUUCCAAUUUCAUUGACCUGUGGCCACACCUAACCCAUGUGGCAGACGGUGGCAGUGUGCAGUCCCACCGUGUGUCUAGGGGAUUUGUGGCUGUGCCUUCUUCCACCCUUUGGACCUGAAGCUUAGUGCCACUUCUCAGACUCCUGUGCCCUCGUGUGACUCGUUGGCUAGGAUUUCGAUUUUUUUCUUUACUCAUCCUGGGUGACUGUCUCCCUUGGUCCAGUCUGAUCCCUGGAACACCCUAAAACACAAAGUCCUUUUUUGUGUAUCAUGCUUCUACACUGCCUGCCUGGCCCCAGGAGCGCCGUGGACAGAGAGAAUAACAUCUGCGUUACAAAAGGUUAUCAGAACGCAGUAGAAUUGAGGCUAGUGAGGAGGGUGGAAUGGAACAGACCUAGAACCAUGCAUGAUCUGCAGGGGACACAGCAAGGGGCCUGGCUGGCUAGGCUAAAGGGUUUAUGUGAGGGUGUACUAAGGAAACUGGAGGGAGAUGUGGUGUUGGGUUGCGAAGGGUCCUGUGUGCUUGGCAGAGAAGCUUGCGCUUCUCCGAGUGGAGAGAUUCCACUGUGUCAGUGGAAGGGUGCAGGUUGCCUUGUUCUCCACAGAGGAAUCUGGUGACAGUGCUCAGGAGGGAUGGUGGCAGACAUCAGAAAUCAAAAUCUGAAAGCCAGAACCCAUGUUCAUUCAAAUUACCAUGAACAUUCUGGAAUGGAAAACAAUAAUAAAAAGAGGUCCAAAGGUGUGAGAUGGAAGCUGUCAGUUUUAACUCCAAAAUAUACUUAUCUCUUGUACACUAUCUGUGGUUGAGAUCCACAAGAAAGGGAGCUCCCAGAGUCAUAUGUUUAGAUGUUUUGUUUACAAAUAAACUGUCACAGCAUAGAAGUUUUCCUUCUCUCUCAUCUGAUUUUUUUUUCUUGGAGCAGUUUAUAGUCUAUAUUUCCACUUCUCCUCUCAAAGUAACAUACACCUUUGAAUGGCUCGCAGGGUCACUUCUGCCUUCAACAAAUUAGCAGCUGGGCCAGGAGCCAAGAUCAUGCAGUUUGGUGUUUCCAAGUGGCCUUGUUGCAUCUGCUGGGCUAAAUUACCAGUUUGUGGGACCAGCGGGCCCCAGUGUGUGUUGCUAUGCCCCUGGGAGAGAGUCUCGUGUUUCUCUAGUGUCAGGUCUGUAGUCAGUAUCAUUACAUUCUCAUUUCUUCAAAUAUUGCCACUGAUUGGAAUUUGUUUUACAAAAGAGUCACUGAGUUGGAGUCAUUGCUACAAGAGUGCAUUGACUUCUAGAGCAAAUAUAAUAAAAGGUGAGUAGAAAUUAGGUAAUGAAGUAACAAAUGUUUGGGGAAAGUGCUGGCUGCCGGCGUCCUGCUCCUGGAUAUCCAACACAGCAUCUGUGAAUUGCGCUCAUCCAAGCUGCCAUCAAUCUGCCUUCUCUCUGCUGAAAACCUGUCUGCUAUUCUCAUGAAUUGCCAGCUAGGUAAUAAUUAUAUCUGUCCUAGGCACUUUACUCCUUUACAGAAUUUUUUAUAGUGUCCGUGGGAUUCCUUUCCUAACACAGAACACGACAAGGUACAACAGUUAGGCACAGUGCAUGAUGUGAGGGUAAAGAGAAAGG